rnacentral:rRNA from 1 species
UGGCGUGUCGUCAGCUCGUGUCGUGAGAUGUUGGGUUAAGUCCCGUAACGAGCGCAGCCCUUGUCCUUAGUUACCAGCACGUUAUGGUGGGCACUCUAAGGAGACUGCCGGUGACAAACCGGAGGAAGGUGGGGAUGACGUCAAGUCAUCAUGGCCCUUACGGCCUGGGCUACACACGUGCUACAAUGGUCGGUACAAAGGGUUGCCAAGCCGCGAGGUGGAGCUAAUCCCAUAAAACCGAUCGUAGUCCGGAUCGCAGUCUGCAACUCGACUGCGUGAAGUCGGAAUCGCUAGUAAUCGUGAAUCAGAAUGUCACGGUGAAUACGUUCCCGGGCCUU